GGCGGAGAGAGCAGGAGGCGGCGGCGAGGGAGCGGUCGGCACUGGGGCAGCGACCGUCCGUGCCCGCCGCGCCUUCUCGCGCCGAGAAAGGACGUUUUUCUGACGGCUUUCCAGCUCUGGGGUGUGCAGGAGGCUCCGAAGGGUGGCAGCAUCAUUUAUUUCUCUGGUGAAACAGAAGAAUGCGCUCAGUCACACUUCUCAGCAGCUCUGCAGCCUGUGGAGCGUGUGGGCAGUCUGUGUAUGCAGCAUCCUGGAAAAUGUGCGUUCUCUUGAAGUGAUCUGCUGAAAAGCACGUACUUGUACAGUUGUUCCAGCCUCCCUUGUUGUGUUGCUCUCAAGAGCUGAAAUGCCUGGUCUCUAAUACUCCCUGGGGUCUCCAUUUCAUCUGCCAAAGAAACACUACCUGCUGCAGUUACCCAGUGAACCCCGAAGAGCAGGGACACUGAAGAUGGCUCUGUGUGCUUUUUAUGCUGUUUGGGGUUUGUUGCUAGAAGUGGCAAUAGCAUUUGGCCCAGUGCCAAGGAUCACUUGGGAACACAAAGAGGUCCAGCUAAUACAUUUUAAUGACUCAAAAGUGUCAAACUAUUCAACCUUGCUGUUAAGUGAAGACAAAAACGUUCUGUAUGUAGGAGCCCGGGAAGUGAUCUUUGCCUUAAACGCGGUGAAUAUUGCUGAGAAGCAGCACGAGUUGCACUGGAAGGUCACAGAAGAUAAAAGGACUAAAUGUGCAGUUAAGGGCAAAUCAGAACAGACAGAAUGUCGUAAUUACGUGCGUGUCUUGCAACAGCUGAAUGAUACUUUCCUCUACGUGUGUGGAACUAAUGCAUUUCAGCCAACGUGUGAUUACCUGAAUUUAAUUUCAUUUGAACUUGGAGGUAAAAAUGAAGAUGGUAAGGGCAGAUGUCCAUUUGAUCCUGCUCAAAGCUACACAUCUGUUAUGGUUGAUGAGGAGCUUUAUUCUGGGACUUCAUACAAUUUCUUGGGAAGUGAACCUAUUAUUUCACGUCACUCUCAUCAGAGCCCGCUGAGAACAGAGUAUGCAAUACCUUGGCUUAAUGAGCCCAACUUUGUUUUUGCUGACGUGAUAAGAGCAGAUCCAAACAGCACAGAUGGAGAAGAUGACAAGAUAUACUUCUUUUUCACUGAGGUGUCUGUGGAGUAUGAAUUUGUUGGAAAGUUGAUGAUUCCAAGAAUAGCUAGAGUAUGCAAGAGGGACCAAGGAGGAUUAAGGACCUUGCAAAAGAAAUGGACUUCGUUUCUCAAGGCCAGAAUGAUUUGCACCAUCCCUGAUAAGAAUUUAAUUUUCAAUGUUAUCAAUGAUGUUUUUAUUCUCAAAUCUCCGACUUUGAAGGAACCAGUGAUAUAUGGAGUCUUCACCCCACAACUGAAUAAUGUGGGGUUGUCAGCAGUGUGUGCAUACAAUCUGUCUACUGUAGAAGAGGUUUUCUCAAAAGGAAAAUACAUGCAGAGUGCUACAGUGGAACAGUCCCAUACAAAGUGGGUGCGAUACAAUGGGGAAAUUCCGAAUCCUCGACCUGGUGCGUGUAUAAACAAUGAAGCCAGAGCAUCAAACUACAUGAGUUCUCUGAAUUUACCAGACAAAACAUUGCAGUUUGUUAAAGAUCAUCCUCUAAUGGAUGACUCAGUGACCCCAAUGGGAGACAGACCUCGCCUAGUAAAGCGAGAUGUGAAGUAUACACAGAUUGUAGUUGACAGAGUCAGAGCACUCAAUGGCACCAUCUAUGAUGUUAUGUUCAUCGGUACAGAUCGAGGAGCCCUGCACAAAGCUAUCAGCUAUGAAAAUGGAAUGCAUAUUAUUGAAGAAACACAGCUUUUUCCAAAUUUUGAACCAGUCCAAACUCUCUUGCUUUCGUCCAAAACAGGCAGAAGAUACCUCUUUGCUGGUUCAAAUUCUGGUGUGGUGCAGUCUCCAUUGGCAUUUUGUGACAAGUACACCACUUGUGUUGACUGUAUUUUAGCAAGGGAUCCUUACUGUGCUUGGAAACCACUUGAAGCUUCCUGCAUUGAUAUUUUUAAAGAAGGUGAAAUGGAAAGGAACUGGAUUCAAAACAUAGGUGGAGAUGCAUCUUCUUGUUCUGAUAAAGUAAGAGAGAAUCCCCUACAGCAUACAUUCAAGCAUGGGAGCACAGCAGAACUCAAGUGUUCUCAAAAGUCCAAUCUGGCACAGGUAGUUUGGAAGUUCAAAGAUGAUGUGCUGAGAGUGGAGAGUCCCAAGUACCGUCUGCUGGAGAAGGCACUGCUCAUCUUCAAUUUAUCAGAAGGAGACAGUGGUGUUUACCAAUGUUUGUCAGAAGAAAAAGUGAAAAAUAAAAAAUUUUCCCAAGUGCUGGCUAAGCAUGUUUUGGAACUGAAAAAAAUGCAGCAUACCACGGUGGGCCCCACUGCAACAGCUGCACCAACAGAAGCCUCAUCUCCUAUACCUUUCCCUCCUACUGGUACCUCCUUUUUGUCCUGUGUGGGAACUGAUUCACCUCCUUCACCCACCAGUACCCAGCCUGAUGUUCGGUCUAGCAAAGACCCCGUAAAGGUCAUGUUGUUGCCACCUUUCCUAAGUGACCAGGCACAGCAUGUUAGUGUCCGGGGACCCUUCCACCUCUUCUGCCAAGCCACAGCUGUCUGGAAACUCAGCAGGAGUUGGUGAGUUAUUUUGUUCAUCUCUUACUCAUCCCACAUGUUUUAACCUGAAAACUUGCCUGGGGAUAAGUCUUUACAACCUUGUAACUGGCUCAUUUCCAUAAGGUAAAGUUAAAUGGAUACAGCACGAACAGCAUUAGUGUCAAACUGCUAUUUUUUUCUGAAAAAUAAGUUUUUUCAAGCAUGGAAUACUCCUGCUCUUCUGGAAAAGGGAGGAAUAAAUCUCCCUUGGCAAAUUUGCUCCCAGUUUGUCUCUGCUCCCCCAGAGAUUCUCACAUUUCUCCAGAAACCUGUCUGCUGUAUGUGAAUGUGCGAACAUUAGGUUUGUGUGCUUUCUCUAAUAUAAGUUUUCUCUCCCAUUACAGAAUUCUAAAAACUUUUAGAGGCAGUUCAGGCGAGUUUCAGAUAAAUUGAACAAAAUACUGCACCGUCUGGUUCAGGGAGAGACAGUGAGUUGGUGGUGCACGCACUUGCUGUAUAAUUUCUCUGGUGUGCUCUGCUGGAAUUAGGUAUAGUAGGAACGGGUUUUUUCCAGAGUUUUGGUUUUGCUGGAAGAUGCUUUACUGGCACCUCCUCCCCCAGCUUUAGAAUAGUAUCUCCAUGUCCAUAAUUUCACAGACUAAACUAAAAUAUGGUGAGUGUGCUGUGCAGUAGUUUAAAUGCUUUUAUAAUCAAACGCUGAAGAACCCUGUGCUUCACCUGCAUAUCAAGCCUCUCUGUGUACAUGGUGUCAAGAUGAUACCCUCCCUUGAUUCAUCUGUAGCUGGAGAUUUUACAUUUUGGAUUGUUUUCAUUCUUGGCAAAUUAAAACAGUAGUUUCGACAUAAAAGUUCUGUGAACUUGAAAAUACACUUUCAAGGAGUUACUGUUUCAUGGAGAUACUGAGAUGAGUAUCUGAUAACAUGUACAAUGCCUGUUCCCUGUGGUUAUGCUAUUUUGGGAGUACAAGAAAGCUUCCCACAUCUGUAGAAGAAAAGAUCCAUAACUUGCAAGAAUCGUAAUUGCAAGUAGAUCACUAGAGAUUCCUCUUCGGUGGAGCCUGAAGAGGAAAGACCUGCAGAAGGGUGGGGAAGUUUUUUUUUCCUCAGGAGGAGGAGGUCACCUGUCAGAGACUGGCUUACCCAUGGAAAUGAGUAAUUCAUUCUUGGGGGAGGAUUUUUUGCAUCAUUUGCACGAUUGCAUCAGCCGUGGUGCCCUGGGGUGGUCUGGUGUGGUGUAGACUCAGUCAGGAGCGGCGUGGAGGUGUGCAGCAGCCAGAGCAGAAUGAGCCUGCCUAGGAAUGUUCUUUGUGCUGGGAAAAGUGUCUGUCCAGAGUGACAAAUGACAGCAUUUACAUUACAGCAUAUCACUGUCUUACUAUUGACUUUACUUGGGUUGUUACUUCUCUCUUCUUACAAGAACACCAAUAUCAAAUAGCACUUUUUCAUACACUUGUGUUUUAUAACCAGUUGAAGUUGGUAAGUGGCUCUUGAUUACAGCUUUGGAGAGAUAUAAUGUUACUUUUUGAAAUGUGAGAAUGAUUUAAUUGGUAGCCUUAAAAGGAAAAGCUCUGAAUCUUCUAGGACAAACCGAUCCACUGAACAAAUAUUUCAACACUUUAGAAGAUUUUCAAAAUUUUAUAGUAUAUUUUGAGAUUUGAGCAGUGAUGCUUUCAUGAAGCAAUACCAUGACUUUAAUCUGUAUGCUUAAUAAAUGGCUGGUUUAUCUUCCUGUGGGUAAGUUUGCACCUUGUUAAACAAUUUCAUAUCCCACCUUAUUAAUUGUCGCCUCAACAGAUCUUUUAUCAUGUGCUAUUUGGUUUAAUUUCACUGUAUUUGGCUAGUAAUUUCUUAGCCUUUAAUUUGUAAAUUUGUGGUUUUGUACCUCUUUUUUUCUGUUAUUUUUGCACUGAUUAUACAUUGCUUAACAACACCAUGGCACUAUCAAACAUUUCCUGUGUGCAGAUCUCUGACAUGCCACAUGUUUAUUAUUAUUUAGGAUGCAUUUGGAAAACCAAUUGAAAAAUUAAGAUUGUUCCUUUAAUAUAUGACAGAAAAGAACUUGGAAGUUUUAUAAAAUUGGAUAAAUAUUGCAGAUCCAUUUUGCAUAAAACUCACAGACAUUAAACAUACCUUUGGUACUUUAGAUUGUGUUAUCUUAGGAGUGUAAUUUUCUUACUACAAUGCUGGCAUUUAUUUUUUCAGACAUGGGGCCUGCUGAAACCCUCCUAGUUAAGUCUGCAUGCAAAACCAACAGCAUUAAACACCCUUCAUUCCUAACAUGGAUGGCAAAGUCCAGAUAACUCCUACUUUGUCUGGAGGAAGAAUGGACAAACAAUGAAGGCAUGCAUCACGGAGCAAUCUCACAUGCUGCUUGAUGGCAGAGUGCAUGUUCUCAGC